rnacentral:rRNA from 1 species
AGGUCAAGAUAAUAAGGGCAUAAGGCGGAUGCCUUGGCACCAAGAGUCGAAGAAGGACGGGACAAGCACCGAAAUGCUUCGGGGAGUCGCAAAUAGGCUUAGAUCCGGAGAUAUCCGAAUGGGGGAACCCACUUGAGAAGACCUCAAGUAUCACUUACUAAAUAAAAUAGGUAAGUGAAGACAACCAGGGGAACUGAAACAUCUAAGUACCCUGAGGAAAAGAAAGAAACAUCGAUUUCCUAAGUAGCGGCGAGCGAACGGGAAAGAGCCCAAACCGAGCAAUCGGGGUUGAGGGGUUUGCGAAAAGUAAGAAAGUAAAGGUAGCUGAAUAAGCUGGGAAGCUUAACCGUAGAAGGUGAAAGUCCUGUAAGCGAAACCUUAAAAUCUGAAAGCAAACACCCAGAGUACCAUGGGACACGAGAAAUCCCGUGGGAAGCAGGGAGGACCACCUCCCAAGGCUAAAUACUACUUGGUGACCGAUAGAGAAGAAGUACCGUGAGGGAAAGGUGAAAAGAACCCCGGGAGGGGAGUGAAAAAGAACCUGAAACCUUAUGCCUACAAGCAGUGGGAGCACGUUAAAAGUGUGACCGCGUACUUUUUGUAGAACGGGCCAGCGAGUUAUGAUAUGCAGCGAGGUUAAGUACUAGAAGGUACGGAGCCGAAGGGAAACCGAGUCUUAAUAGGGCGAGAAGUUGUAUAUCAUAGACCCGAAACCGGGUGAUCUAUUCAUGGGCAGAGUGAAGUUUUAGUAAAGUAAAAUGGAGGCUCGAACUCAUUAGCGUUUAAAAGCUAUGGGAUGACCUGUGAAUAGGGGUGAAAAGCCAAUCGAACCCGGAGAUAGCUGGUUCUCCUCGAAAUAGCUUUAGGGCUAGCCUCAAAGGUAAGUGAGAUGGAGGUAGAGCACUGAAUGGACAAGGGGCUUAUAUAAGUUACCGAAGCCUAUCAAACUCCGAAUGCCAUACUCAUAACUUUGGGAGUCAGACUAUGUGGGAUAAGCUUCAUAGUCAAAAGGGAAACAGCCCAGACCACCAGCUAAGGUCCCAAAAUACGUAUUAAGUGUAAAAGGAUGUGAAGUUACACAGACAACCAGGAUGUUGGCUUAGAAGCAGCCAUACAUUCAAAGAGUGCGUAAUAGCUCACUGGUCGAGUGACUUUGCGCCGAAGAUUUCCGGGGCUUAAAUACGUUACCGAAGCUGUGGGAUUGUGAUAAACAAUCGGUAGAGGAGCAUUGUGUAGUAGGAAGAAGGCAUACCGAAAGGAGUGCUGGACAAGACACAAGAGAGAAUGCUGGCAUAAGUAGCGAAAGGUGAGUGAGAAUCUCACCCGUCGAAAGCCUAAGGUUUCCUGAGGAAGGCUCGUCCACUCAGGGUAAGUCGGGGCCUAAGCCGAGGCAGAAGAUGCGUAGGCGAUGGACAACAGGUUAUAAUUCCUGUACUAGUGACAAGCGCUAUAAGAGAAGUGGGGAAGCAGGAGGAUAGGUGAAGCGCACGGAUGGAAAUGUGCGUCCAAGUACGUAGGUAGGUAUUGUAGGCAAAUCCGCAAUACUGAAGAUCUGAGGUACGAUGGGGAUCGAAAAACAAGUAGAGAAGGAGCCAAAUCCACACUGCCAAGAAAAGCCACUAUCAAGCAAGUCACUACCCGUACCGCAAACCGACACAGGUAGGCGAGGAGAGAAUCCUAAGACGCGCGGAAGAACCUUUGUUAAGGAACUCGGCAAAAUAGCCCCGUAACUUCGGGAUAAGGGGUGCCAGGGUAAGUGAAAUAUCCAAGCGAUAAAGUAGUGAGAACCUGGCCGCAGUGAAAAGGCCCAAGCGACUGUUUACCAAAAACACAGGUCUCUGCUAAGUCGAAAGACGAAGUAUAGGGGCUGACACCUGCCCGGUGCUGGAAGGUUAAGGGGAAAGGUAAGCCGAAAGGCGAAGCUUAGAACUUAAGCCCCAGUAAACGGCGGCCGUAACUAUAACGGUCCUAAGGUAGCGAAAUUCCUUGUCGGGUAAGUUCCGACCCGCACGAAAGGUGUAACGAUUUGGGCACUGUCUCAACAAAGGAUCCGGUGAAAUUGUAGUAUACGUGAAGAUGCGUAUUACCCGCGACAGGACGGAAAGACCCCGUGGAGCUUUACUGCAGGCUGACAUUGGACUUUGGGAUCACUCGUACAGGAUAGGUGGGAGGCAAGGAAACAUAUGCGCCAGCAUAUGUGGAGCCGGCGUUGGGAUACCACUCUUGUGAUACUAGAGUUCUAACCUGAUACCAUGAAACUGGUAUAGGGACACUGUCAGUUGGGCAGUUUGACUGGGGCGGUCGCCUCCAAAAGAGUAACGGAGGCGCUCAAAGGUUUCCUCAGCACGGUUGGAAAUCGUGCGAAGAGUGUAAAGGCAGAAGGAAGCUUGACUGCGAGAAAGACAAUUCGAGCAGGAACGAAAGUUGGACUUAGUGAUCCGGUGGUACCGAGUGGAAGGGCCAUCGCUCAACGGAUAAAAGCUACCCCGGGGAUAACAGGCUUAUCUCCCCCAAGAGUUCACAUCGACGGGGAGGUUUGGCACCUCGAUGUCGGCUCGUCUCAUCCUGGGGCUGAAGCAGGUCCCAAGGGUUGGGCUGUUCGCCCAUUAAAGAGGCACGCGAGCUGGGUUCAGAACGUCGUGAGACAGUUCGGUCCCUAUCCGUCGUGGGCGUAGGAAAUUUGAGAGGAGCUGUCCUUAGUACGAGAGGACCGGGAUGGACAAACCUCUGGUGAAUCAGUUGUACUGCCAAGUGCAAAGCUGAGUAGCUAAGUUUGGAAGGGAUAAGAGCUGAAGGCAUCUAAGCACGAAGCCCCCCUCAAGAUGAGAUUUCCCAUCGAAAGAAUAAGGCACCAGAAAGACAAACUGGUAGAUAGGCCAAGAGUGUAAGAUCAGCAAUGAUUUAAGCUAAGUGGUACUAAUAUGCCGAAGACUUGACCUAA